GUGUCUGCGCAGCUUGUUCCUGCAGCGUAAAAUUUCCUACUGUAAAGCCUUGGUCGUGAUGCUGCGGCCGCUUCGCGCUGUGGCCCUGGCCGACCGCCAGGCGCUGCUACAGUGGAUGCGAACUAUCCUUAAGUGUAAGAGACCAGAGCCUGAGGCAGGCGCUGACUUUGGAGACUUAGGCAAGAUACAGCAGUAGCCAGAACCCACAGUUCAUCUUGGUGCAUUCCUUUAUGAUGAAGACUUUUAUUGAUUCAUUAUGUGCAAAAGGAAAAAUGAGCAGAAAUUACUGUAUGAUGUGCAGCUCAAACCAGACAGCACCUUUAGGUAGGCAGUCAG